rfam:Brachypodium distachyon strain Bd21 chromosome 3, whole genome shotgun sequence.
UUAAUACUCCCUCCGUCUAACACAAAAUGUUUUAAGUUUGUCCAAAUUUGGAUGUACCUAGACAUGACUUACUGUAUUGAUGCAUUCAAAUUUAGUCAAAGUUGAGACAUCUUUUGUUGGACGGAAGGAGUACAAG